rnacentral:rRNA from 1 species
GAUGAACGCUAGCGGCAGGCCUAAUACAUGCAAGUCGAAGGGGCAGCAAUGUCACUGGCGUACGGGUGCGUAACACGUUUGGAAUCUGCCUUGUAUUGGGGGAUAGCCCGCCGAAAGGCGGAUUAAUACCGCAUAUGCUCGUGGAGUGGCAUCACUUAGCGAGGAAAGGAGUAAUCCGAUACGAGAUGACCAUGCGUCUGAUUAGCUAGUUGGCGGGUAAUGGCCCACCAAGGCGACGAUCAGUAGGGGACCUGAGAGGGCGAUCCCCCACACGGGCACUGAGAUACGGGCCCGACUCCUACGGGAGGCAGCAGUAGGGAAUAUUGGGCAAUGGGCGCAAGCCUGACCCAGCCAUGCCGCGUGCCGGAAGAAGGCCCUCUGGGUU